rnacentral:rRNA from 1 species
CCCUUAGAUGUUCUGGGCCGCACGCGCGCUACACUGAUUCAUGCAACAAGUUUUGUCCUUGGCUGAUAGGCCUAGGUAAUCUUUGAACGUGAAUCGUGAUGGGGAUAGAUGAUUGCAAUUAUUCAUCUUCAACGAGGAAUUCCUAGUAAACGCAAGUCAUCAGCUUGCAUUGAUUACGUCCCUGCCCUUUGUACACACCGCCCGUCGCACCUACCGAUUGAAUGGUCCGGUGAAAUCUUCGGAUCUGAGAGAUGUCUGAUUAAUUUCGGACGCCUUUUGGAAAAGUUGCUUAAACCUUACCAUUUAGAGGAAGGUGAAGUCGUAACA